UAUACGCCGGCGGUAUAGAGCAAAAGGCGGCGCGCACACUUAUGUCAAUGUCCUUCACCAUUUGCGUGAAUCUCUCCUGCCACAUAGUUACCACGCGGCGAGUACAAGCCCGGCCUUUUUUUUUACACACAUGCGCACAGGGAGGGCUUUCACGCGAAGCGCCUUCUUUUGCGAACGCGGCAAUGUAGCGGCAGCAACCAUGUGGCGUGUCAAUUGUUGAUUCGCUCGUCAGGAAGCGGCGUGCGCUUGGGAGCCCGCUUGUCAUUUUCCCCGCAUCGCCACGCGCGCGUCCGCCACGUCCGAGCAUGCACGGCCGGCACAAAACAGCGAGGCGAAGCACUGUGAAAUUGCCGGAGCCGUCUGAAAACCAUCAAGCCCCGCCGCGUUUUUCCAUCUCCUUUUCUCCGCUCUCUGCGGGGGUCUCGCUCCAUCCCGAAAAUAAAGGCAAACAAGCGGAGCGCAUAGCAGAAAACGGCCUCUACUGUCGCCCCGAAGAAGACGAUGACAACGGGGGAAGACCUGGGGAAGACCAAGAGAGGACCAUUCUUCAAAGUGUGGUGUCGCGCGUCGGGCUUUGUCAGCGAUCCGGCUCGGUCGUAGAAAGAGACAAAGUCCGCGGGUAACCCUAUCGAUAGCCGGGGAAACGGACACAACCCUUUCUUUUUCUGGAUCUCUCCCGCUGUUCUUCUGUUAUUACUCCUUAGGGAAAGUACGGCCACUCCGGGGGUUAGACAUCUUUACCAGAGGUCCUCGUUCACUUACACGCGCCUGUACUCGCUUGAAGUGCUGCUCGACGCCAGCUAACUCAAGCGGGUUUGACAUUCAAGUACAUGGCCGGCAGCAACCCGCUAACGAAGCACCUCGUGUUGCUGAGAAUGAGAAAGAGAGCGAGGAGAAGGCAAAAAAAGGAAUGUGUUUGUAAGUGGCCACGGUGAUGGCUGCAGCACGUGGCUUUUUCUUUAUCUUCCUUUUCUGUUGAGCCCCUGGUAAGCAGCGCUUUCGGUGCUGUUGUUGCUUCGACCAUUUCAGCAGCGGGGCGCCCUCAGAAACUGAUAUGGCUGCGGGGAGUACGUGCUAGAGGGAGGAGAAGAGUGUUCCGAAUGGGGGGAGGUGAGCCCUAAAGCUAAGGGCUCUUCUUUACGCGAGGAUCAUUUAUUUUUCGACGGGACGUCCCGUCCCCUCUCCUUUGGACGUUUUAUGGUCCCUUUGACAAUCGCGUUCGAACGCCGCCGAACGAGCGUGCGCCCAGCAGCCGCCCCUGCUGCUCUCCAGACCACGUGCGGACUCCGGCAGGCGCCGCUCGCAGAAUGUGCACGCGCGCGUCCCGUUCCGUGAAAUCGGCCCACUCGUCGCGUCCUAACCGCCACCACCGCCAUCAGCGUCACCAGCCACAGUCGCGGUGUUCAAAGCCAUCGUGUAUUUCCUCGUCGGUGUUCACCCAUCGCCGGGAAGCUUUCAAGACGUCGCUGACCAUUGUCAAGCGUUGUCGUGCGACUUGCUCAUCGUCGACGCCAUCUUCUUUUUACAGGCACAAGCAGGCAGACACUUCCGUAAAUGAGCAAGCCGAUUUCUUCUUUCUUUCGCCGGGGCUUUCUUUCCAAGCGGCCCCUGCUACUCCGUCAUCCCGGGCGAGACCCCCUUUGUCUUGGAUGCGCCCGUGUUGCUGGGCGAGCAACGGUCUUAUCAGGCGAGCGGCGCUUCUUACCGCGAAUUCCCGGAGGAACCCACUGCGCUGGAGGGGGCGGGAUGUCUUGUUUAGCGCGGGCCGUGGAUGCAGCAGCGUCACCGAUAGCGCGCACCCGCGCUCCUCCCAUUCUCGUUCAUCCUGCAGCAGUCCAGUUUUUCCCGGCACUUGUUGCGUUUGCUUUUGCCUCUGCUUCAGCUACUGCUGCUGCUUUAGUCAGGCGUGAGCGAUCACCAACUGGAUAUAGACAUCAAAAGGCCCGGACCUCCUGCGAAAGGUGCUGACCUGUUGGUCUGAAGAACGAACACUAUAAGCGAAAGACGGCAAAAUGAGCGAGGAAAUGAAUGAAGGGGUCGACAAGGAAGUAGUGCGCCUGACUUGCUUCCUGCAAACCAGGAAGACUGGAAGGGGAUGUUGGGAGGUUUUCGCUGCCAGCAAGGAAGACGGAGCGAAGCGGCAGGACGCGGGGC
rnacentral:lncRNA from 1 species